ACGUUGAAACACCGAUUCUCGUACUAUCACCGAAGUUAAGCAACAUCGAGCCUAGCCAGUAACUAGAUGGGUGGCCACUUGGGAAUACCAGGUGCUGUAAU